rnacentral:rRNA from 1 species
AGAGUUUGAUCCUGGCUCAGGAUGAACGCUAGCUACAGGCUUAACACAUGCAAGUCGAGGGGCAGCAUAAACUUAGCUUUGCUGGGUUUGAUGGCGACCGGCGCACGGGUGAGUAACGCGUAUCCAACCUGCCCUUUACUCCGGGAUAGUCUCCUGAAAGGGAGUUUAAUACCGGAUGUGUUUGUCUUUCCGCAUGGGAGCGACAAAUAAAGAUUGAUUGGUAAAGGAUGGGGAUGCGUCCCAUUAGCUUGUUGGCGGGGUAACGGCCCACCAAGGCAACGAUGGGUAGGGGUUCUGAGAGGAAGGUCCCCCACAUUGGAACUGAGACACGGUCCAAACUCCUACGGGAGGCAGCAGUGAGGAAUAUUGGUCAAUGGGCGGGAGCCUGAACCAGCCAAGUAGCGUGAAGGAUGACGGCCCUACGGGUUGUAAACUUCUUUUAUAAGGGAAUAAAGUUCGCCACGCGUGGUGUUUUGUAUGUACCUUAUGAAUAAGCAUCGGCUAAUUCCGUGCCAGCAGCCGCGGUAAUACGGAAGAUGCGAGCGUUAUCCGGAUUUAUUGGGUUUAAAGGGAGCGUAGGCGGGCUUUUAAGUCAGCGGUCAAAUGCCACGGCUCAACCGUGGCCAGCCGUUGAAACUGCAAGCCUUGAGUCUGCACAGGGCACAUGGAAUUCGUGGUGUAGCGGUGAAAUGCUUAGAUAUCACGAAGAACUCCGAUCGCGAAGGCAUUGUGCCGGGGCAUAACUGACGCUGAGGCUCGAAAGUGCGGGUAUCAAACAGGAUUAGAUACCCUGGUAGUCCGCACGGUAAACGAUGAAUGCUCGCUAUGGGCGAUAUAUGGUCCGUGGCCAAGCGAAAGCGUUAAGCAUUCCACCUGGGGAGUACGCCGGCAACGGUGAAACUCAAAGGAAUUGACGGGGGC